rnacentral:rRNA from 12 species
UGCAGUGGCUGCACCAGAGUGCGAGUACCAAAUAGCGUCCGAUCUCGGAAGCUAAACGGGCUGUUCCUGGUCAGUACUUGGAUCGGAGACCAACUUGGUUGACCAGGGGCCACUAUCC